CUCCUGGGAAGUCAUCGUGCUGCACCCC
rnacentral:rRNA from 1 species